UGUUCAUUUCAUUUCCUUUUUUGUCCCAUUAGAUAUUAUAUUUGUUUGCUUAAAUAAAUGACCUAUAUCUGCUAGAUAAAUCUGUACGGCAACUAGAGAUGCUUCUUUAAAUAUGACUGGUGCCUGUGGUCUAUUGGAUAUAGCCUGCCAUUUGAUGGAUAAAUUCUUGGCACAAACUGAAGCUGUACAUUUUAUAUAGGUCUAAUGGUCAAAAAAAUCCAAACCAUUGUGGUUUUUCAAUUUUGUCUAAUCCUUUUAACUAUUACAAUUUUUUUUUUUUCAAACUUUUACU
rnacentral:misc_RNA from 1 species